rnacentral:rRNA from 1 species
UGCGUAGGUGGCCAUGUAAGCGCGGGUGAAAGGCAAUAGCUUAACUAUUGUAAGCCUUGCGAACUGUAUGGCUUGAGUGCAGGAGAGGAAAGUGGAAUUCCUAGUGUAGCGGUGAAAUGCGUAGAUAUUAGGAGGAACACCAGUGGCGAAGGCGACUUUCUGGACUGUAACUGACACUGAGGCACGAAAGCGUGGGGAGCAAACA